UACGUAGGGUGCAAGCGUUGUCCGGAAUUAUUGGGCGUAAAGAGCUCGUAGGCGGCCUGUCGCGUCGGCUGUGAAAACUCAGGGCUCAACCCUGAGCCUGCAGUCGAUACGGGCAGGCUAGAGUCCGGCAGGGGAGACUGGAAUUCCUGGUGUAGCGGUGAAAUGCGCAGAUAUCAGGAGGAACACCGGUGGCGAAGGCGGGUCCCUGGGCCGGAACUGACGCUGAGGAGCGAAAGCGUGGGGAGCGAACAGG
rnacentral:rRNA from 1 species